AAAUGUGCAAAUUCAAUAAAUUGCAAUUCAACUUGUAGGCCU
rfam:Escherichia coli str. K-12 substr. MG1655, complete genome.